GUGGGGAAUCUUCCGCAAUGGACGAAAGUCUGACGGUGCGACGCCGCGUGAGUGAAGAAGGCCUUCGGGUCGUAAAGCUCUGUCAUCAGGGACGAACGGCCGGUGGAGUGGAAAGCCACCGGAUUGACGGUACCUGAGAAGGAAGCCACGGCUAACUACGUGCCAGCAGCCGCGGUAAUACGUAGGUGGCAAGCGUUGUCCGGAAUUAUUGGGCGUAAAGCGCGCGCAGGUGGGAUCUUAAGUCCAUUUUGAAAGUUCGGAGCUCAACUCCGUGAUGGGAUGGAAACUGGGAUUCUUGAGUACCGGAGAGGAAAGCGGAAUUCCCCGUGUAGCGAUGAAAUGCGUAGAUAUGGGGAGGAACACCAGUGGCGAAGGCGGCUUUCUGGACGGUGUCUGACACUGAGGCGCGAAAGCUAGGGGAGCGAACGGGAUUAGAUACCCUUGUAGUCC
rnacentral:rRNA from 1 species